GACAUAGGUGGCGAACGUUAUCCGGAAUUAUUGGGCGUAAAGAGCGUGUAGGUGGCUCGGUAAGUCCGCUGUGAAAGUCCAGGGCUCAACCCUGGAAAGCCGGUGGAAACUGUCGAGCUCGAGUCCGGAAGAGGCGAGUGGAAUUCCUGGUGUAGCGGUGAAAUGCGCAGAUAUCAGGAGGAACACCAAUGGCGAAGGCAGCUCGCUGGGACGGUACUGACACUGAGACGCGAAAGCGUGGGGAGCAAACAGG
rnacentral:rRNA from 1 species